AUGAUCUCUUCAUCUUUAGUGCUGCUUCUGGCAGUCAUAUCCUGUAUUGAUUCAUAUGAACUCACUCAGCCUGAGUCUCUGACUGUCCGUCCUGAUGCCACUCUCACUAUCAACUGUAAAGUCUCAUAUUCAGUUACAAGUGAGGAUACAGCCUGGAUUCGUCAGCCUGCAGGAAAAGCUCUGGAGUGGAUUGGAAUCAUCUGGAGUGAUGAAAGCUUAGACUACAAUGAUUCCCUAAAAAGCAAGUUCAGUAUCACCAGAGACACUUCCAGUAACACAAUAACACUGCAAGGAAAGAAUAUGCGAGCUGAAGACACAGCUGUGUAUUAUUGUGCCAGACGUACACAGUGACAGACGCUAAUAGAC